GUGCUCGCGUCGGCAGCACAUAUACUAAAUUUGGAAUGAUACAGAGAAGAUUAGCAUGGCCCCUGUGCAAGGAUGACAUGCAAAUUCAUGAAGCAUUCCAUAUUUUU